AGCAAUAUCAAAAGCAACACAAUGGCCAGAAACAAUUGCAAUGUGAAAAACUUUAUGAAAUAAUUCAAAAUAUUGUAAUUUUCUGGCCAUUGUGUUGCUUUUGAUAUUGCU